rnacentral:lncRNA from 1 species
AGAAACAUACUCAAUGCCUUAGAUUUUUUUAAUUUGGAAAUGAGUGUGUUCCUUCUUUUGUGUGAGCCUUGGCAGCCUUCUGUGGGCGGUGGAAUCGCGUCCAUUCCUCUUAACAGCUGUACUGAGGGCCCCGUGCCUUCCCAUUUCCUCCACUCUGUGAAGGAGUCUCAGUGCAAACCUUAGGCACUCGCUUCUCCUGUGUCCCUGCAUCCUCUGCAGCAGGAAAACACAGAUCCCUUUUCUCUACCAAGGUUUGACAGCACCUUGAAGGAACCGUUUUUUUGUUUGUUUGUUUGUUUGUUUGUUUUGUUUUGUUUUGCUGUUGUUUUUGUUUUUUUGUUUUUGCUGUUGUCCCUUGUCCCUGCAUCUUGCUGCUCUAGCUAUGCUGACUACACACCCUGCUCCUGUGCCUAGGAUGCUGAGCACUAGUGUCUGCAGGGAAGGUAUGGCAUCCUACUCAGUACUGUGCAUGGUGGGCCUCCCAGAAGUCUCCAGGAAUGUAUAAAUAUAUCUCAUAGUUGUAGUUUUAUGUUUAUCAAUACAGUCAGUGAGAGGACUAACCUUUUGGUAUCGUGGCAUCUGCUGUAAACCUUCUGUGUCAGAAUAAGAGUGUCCUAAAUUAAAUUUGUAUUUUUAUAGCUGUGACUGUUUACUAAAGAAAUAAAGAAGAAAAUGUAAAGCAGGACCCCUUGAUCCGAAGAUAACGAGAAUUAACAUUCUGCUGAGCAGCUCACUGGAAAGUUACUGUUUAAUAAUCAUGUUUGGACUAGAGAUGAGUGUUUAGAAAUGAGACAGUAAGAAGGUCUUGUCUGCACAGAGUUCUGAUUUCCCCUCAGGUUUUGCCUCUCAAGUUAUGAGAGCCACUUGGCAGAAGCUCGGGGCAUCGAGUGCGUAGAGUUCGGGGUGACAGACUGAGUCAGUUUGUGCUGAAAUUUCCACGAGUAUUGUCACGUUGGCACUCUCACGUGAAUGUUUCCUUAGACAAGUCACCAUUUUACUCUUGUCUCUCUGUCUGUCCAGCCCCGUCUCUUUAAUUUUGAGACAAGAUCUCAUUCUGUUUUGGGACUCAGUAUAUAGCCAAGGCUGGCCCUGAAAUCAAAGAACUUGGCCUCAGUCUGUUGAGUGCUAAGGUUAUAGGCAAACCACCAAACCCAACAAUUUUUUUCCUUCUUUUCCUUUUUCUUUUUCAACUUUAUAUUGAUUCAUGUGAAUUUCAUAUCAUGCAUCACAUGUGAAUUUCACAUCAUGCACUCAUCUCUCUGUGCCUUUGUAUCUACCCGCUUGCCUUGCAACAUCCAUCUGGGGAAAAAAAUAAAGG